GACGAACGCUGGCGGCGUGCUUAACACAUGCAAGUCGAACGGAAAGGCCCGGCUCUUGUGGGGUGCUCGAUUGGCGAACGGGUGAGUAACACGUGAGUAACCUGCCCCUGACUGUGGGAUAACUUCAGGAAACAGGGGCGAAUACCGGAGAGGAGCUCCUGCUGCAUGGUGGGGGUUGGAAAGUUUCGGCGGUUGGGGAUGGACUCGCGGCUUAUCAGCUUGUUGGUGGGGUAGUGGCUUACCAAGGCUUUGACGGGUAGCCGGCCUGGGAGGGUGACCGGCCACCUUGGGCCUGAGAUACGGCCCAGACUCCUACGGGAGGCAGCAGUGGGGAAUAUUGCACAGUGGGCGGAAGCCUGAUGCAGCAACGCCGCGUGCGGGAUGACGGCCUUCGGGUUGUAAACCGCUUUCGCCUGUGACGAAGCGUGAGUGACGGUAAUGGGUAAAGAAGCACCGGCUAACUACGUG
rnacentral:rRNA from 1 species